UUCACAAAUAGCCCUGUAAAGUAAGAGAAAAAAGAACUUCAUAGUUCUCACCUACUUGUUGCCUGUCAUUUUAGCAAGGAGCAAUAGCCUGAUAUGAUGAGAGAGUCUUACUGCUUUCUAGGAGCGUUUUGUAUCAGCAUGACUUACAUGAUUAAACCAGCUUACCAGAGAGGCAAAAAGAAUAUGCCUAUUCUCUGUCAGGAGUCUGCGUGUUGCAAGUCUGCAACUUGAAGUGAAAUGUAGGCCUUUGCCCUGGGCACACUGGUCAAACACAAAAGGUGCAUAGCUAACAGCCACAAAAAUCCACACACUUUCUUCUCCCUUUCUCACAAGUUCUUUUCUCUGUUAUUUGCUGUUUAAACUCUUUUUAUGUUUGCGUUAUACAUUCCAACUCAAGUUUUUUUCCUUUUUCUUUAACUUAGGACUGAUGUGUGCUUCUUCACCAGGUAUCCUGCCUAUGAUAGUUCCUCUGAGAUGUUACUGAAUUACAAGGUCUGAGAAAUCCUGACCACUAGCUAACAGAUCCCUAAGAAGAGCAUCAAGACACAAAGGGAUGUGUUCCUCGCUGAAAAAUGACCAUUGGAUUCCAUGCCUGGCAGAGAGUUGGUCUUAUCUCUGGACUCUAAAGACACAGGGCAAGAGAGAUGAAUUGCUAAAACACCACCUGAAGGCAAGUGGAGCUUUGACAAGUUUUAAAAUUGUUCAACAUUUCAGCUAGGGCUGUAAUAGGUCUUUAGUAGUGCAGUACUUGGGACUGACAGAGCUCAGCGAAUGCUGCUGUUGUAUGCCACUUGUCCCUGCCUUCAUAUGGUUACCUGAUGUUGCCAUUCUUUCCAGGUAAGGAAAGAAAUGUCUGAAGGUGUGAAGUGUUAGUUGUUGUAGGUACGUUACAGCCUCAACUGAUGAUUGAGCAUCUGGUGAAGGGAGUGGCUCAC
rnacentral:lncRNA from 1 species